rnacentral:rRNA from 1 species
CANAGCGUAUAUUAAAGUUGUUGCAGUUAAAAAGCUCGUAGUUGGAUUUCUGGCUGGAGCGAUCGGUCCGCCCCGCAAGGGGUGUGUACUAGCGUCGUCUCCGACCAUCCUUGUGGGAACUGUGCGGCCGUUAACUCGGUUGUAUAUGGGAACACAUCGNUUACUGUGAAAAAAUUAGAGUGUUUAAAGCAGGCUUAAGCCGUUGAAUACAUUAGCAUGGAAUAAUGAGAUAAGACUUGGGUCAUUAUUUUGUUGGUUUGCGGAUCGAGGUAAUGAUUAAUAGGGAUAGUUGGGGGUAUUCAUAUUUAAUUGUCAGAGGUGAAAUUCUUGGAUUUAUGAAAGAUGAACUUAGGCGAAAGCAUUUGCCAAGGAUGUUUUCAUUAAUCAAGAACGAAAGUUAGGGGAUCGAAGAUGAUUANAUACCAUCGUAGUCUUAACCAUAAACUAUGCCGACUAGGGAUUGGCGGUCGUUACUUAAUGACUCCGUCAGCACCUUAUGAGAAAUCAAAGUCUUUGGGUUCCGGGGGGAGUAUGGUCGCAAGGCUGAAACUUA